GUGCUCGCUUUGGCAGCACAUAUACUAAAAUUGGACUGAUAAAGAGAAGAUUAGUAUGGUACCUGCACAAAGACGACACAGAAAUUCAUGAAGCAUUCCAUACUGUU
ensembl:snRNA U6 U6 spliceosomal RNA